AACGCACCUUGCGCUCCUUGGUAUUCCGAGGAGCAUGCCUGUUUGAGUGUCAUUAAAUUCUCAACCUCAUCAGUUUUGUUAUGAGACUGUGUGAGGCUUGGAUGUGGGGGUUGUGCAGAACGCUUUCGAGCAGACUGCUCCCCUUAAAAAUAUUAGCGAGUUCAAACUGGGCUCCGUCUAUUGGUGUGAUAAUUAUCUACGCCGUGGAUGGGGCUUAGACUUGCUUCUAACCGUCCGCAAGGACAAUCUUUUGACAAUUUGACCUCAAAUCAGGUAGGACUACCCGCUGAACUUAA
rnacentral:misc_RNA from 1 species